rnacentral:tRNA from 1 species
GGGCCUGUAGCUCAGAUGGGAGAGCACCUGGUUUGCAACCAGGGGGUCGGGAGUUCGAGCCUCCCCAGGUCCACCA